GACGAACGCUGGCGGCGUGCCUAAUACAUGCAAGUUGAGCGCUGAAGGUUGGUACUUGUACCAACUGGAUGAGCAGCGAACGGGUGAGUAACGCGUGGGGAAUCUGCCUUUGAGCGGGGGACAACAUUUGGAAACGAAUGCUAAUACCGCAUAAAAACUUUAAACACAAGGUUUAAGUUUGAAAGAUGCAAUUGCAUCACUCAAAGAUGAUCCCGCGUUGUAUUAGCUAGUUGGUGAGGUAAAGGCUCACCAAGGCGAUGAUACAUAGCCGACCUGAGAGGGUGAUCGGCCACAUUGGGACUGAGACACGGCACAAACUCCUACGGGAGGCAGCAGUAGGGAAUCUUCGGCAAUAGACGAAAGUCUGACCGAGCAACGCCGCGUGAGUGAAGAAGGUUUUCGGAUCGUAAAACUCUGUUGGUAGAGAAGAACGUUGGUGAGAGUGGAAAGCUCAUCAAGUGACGGUAACUACCCAGAAAGGGACGGCUAACUACGUG
rnacentral:rRNA from 1 species